rnacentral:rRNA from 1 species
GACGAACGCUGGCGGCGUGCUUAACACAUGCAAGUCGAACUAUGAAGCCGGAGCUUGCUCCGGUGGAUUAGUGGCGAACGGGUGAGUAACACGUGAGCAAUCUGCCCUUGACUCUGGGAUAACUGCGGGAAACUGUAGCUAAUACCGGAUACGACACCUUGGGGCAUCCCAGGGUGUGGAAAGAAUUUCGGUCAAGGAUGAGCUCGCGGCCUAGCAGCUAGUUGGUGAGGUAAUGGCUCACCAAGGCGACGACGGGUAGCCGGCCUGAGAGGGUGACCGGCCACACUGGAACUGAGACACGGUCCAGACUCCUACGGGAGGCAGCAGUGGGGAAUAUUGCACGAUGGGCGAAAGCCUGAUGCAGCAACGCCGCGUGAGGGAUGAAGGCCUUCGGGUUGUAAACCUCUUUUAGCAGGGAAGAAGCGAAAGUGACGGUACCUGCAGAAAAAGCACCGGCUAACUACGUGCCAGCAGCCGCCGUAA